AUUGAACGCUGGCGGAAUGCUUUACACAUGCAUGUCGAACGGCAGCACGGACUUCGGUCUGGUGGCGAGUGGCGAACGGGCGAGUAAUACAUCGGAACGUGCCCAGUCAUGGGGGAUAACGUAGCGAAAGAUACGCUAAUACCGCAUACGAUCUAAGGAUGAAAGCGGGGGAUCGCAAGACCUCGCGCGAUUGGAGCGGACGAUGGCAGAUUAGGUAGGUGGUAGGGUAAAGGCCUACCAAGCCGACGAUCUGUAGCUGGUCGGAGAGGAGGAUCAGCCACACUGGGACUGAGACACUGCCCAGACUCCUACGGGAGGCAGCAGUGGGGAAUUUUGGACAAUGGGCGCAAGCCUGAUCCAGCCAUUCCGCGUGCAGGAUGAAGGCCUUCGGGUUGUAAACUGCUUUUGUACAGAACGAAAAGGCUCUGGUUAAUACCCGGGGCUCAUGACGGUACUGUAAGAAUAAGCACCGGCUAACUACGUGCCAGCCGCCGCCGUAA
rnacentral:rRNA from 1 species